CAGAUUUCGCAUGGGCGAAGCCUGACGCAGCGACGCCGCGUGGGGGAUGAAGGCCUUCGGGUUGUAAACCCCUUUUCUCAGGGAGGAAUAAUGACAGUACCUGGGGAAUAAGCCACGGCUAACUACGUGCCAGCAGCAGCGGUAAAACGUAGGUGGCGAGCGUUAUCCGGAUUUACUGGGCGUAAAGAGGGUGCAAGCGGCCUUUCAAGUCGGUUGUCAAAUAUCCCGGCUUAACCGGGGAGCAUCAAUCGAUACUGUUGGGCUAGAGUGCAAUAGAAGGAAGCGGAAUUCCCGGUGUAGUGGUGAAAUGCGUAGAUAUCGGGAGGAACACCAGUGGCGUAAGCGGCUUCCUAGGUUGUUACUGACGCCUAGACCCGAAAGCGUGGGGAGCAAACAGGAUUAGAUACCCUGGUAGUCCACGCUAUAAACUAUGGAUACUAGGUAUAGGGAGUAUCGACCCUCUCUGUGCCGAAGCUAACGCGUUAAGUAUCCCGUCUGGGGACUACGGCCGCAAGGCUAAAACUCAAAAAAAUUGACGGA
rnacentral:rRNA from 1 species